rnacentral:rRNA from 1 species
UGCAGGGUAUAGACCCGAAACCCGGUGAUCUAGCCAUGGGCAGGUUGAAGGUUGGGUAACACUAACUGGAGGACCGAACCGACUAAUGUUGAAAAAUUAGCGGAUGACUUGUGGCUGGGGGUGAAAGGCCAAUCAAACCGGGAGAUAGCUGGUUCUCCCCGAAAGCUAUUUAGGUAGCGCCUCGUGAAUUCAUCUCCGGGGGUAGAGCACUGUUUCGGCAAGGGGGUCAUCCCGACUUACCAACCCGAUGCAAACUGCGAAUACCGGAGAAUGUUAUCACGGGAGACACACGGCGGGUGCUAACGUCCGUCGUGAAGAGGGAAACAACCCAGACCGCCAGCUAAGGUCCCAAAGUCAUGGUUAAGUGGGAAACGAUGUGGGAAGGCCCAGACAGCCAGGAUGUUGGCUUAGAAGCAGCCAUCAUUUAAAGAAAGCGUAAUAGCUCACUGGUCGAGUCGGCCUGCGCGGAAGAUGUAACGGGGCUAAACCAUGCACCGAAGCUGCGGCAGCGACACUAUGUGUUGUUGGGUAGGGGAGCGUUCUGUAAGCCUGUGAAGGUGGCCUGUGAGGGUUGCUGGAGGUAUCAGAAGUGCGAAUGCUGACAUAAGUAACGAUAAAGCGGGUGAAAAGCCCGCUCGCCGGAAGACCAAGGGUUCCUGUCCAACGUUAAUCGGGGCAGGGUGAGUCGACCCCUAAGGCGAGGCCGAAAGGCGUAGUCGAUGGGAAACAGGUUAAUAUUCCUGUACUUGGUGUUACUGCGAAGGGGGGACGGAGAAGGCUAUGUUGGCCGGGCGACGGUUGUCCCGGUUUAAGCGUGUAGGCUGGUUUUCCAGGCAAAUCCGGAAAACCAAGGCUGAGGCGUGAUGA